GCGUCGGUGGUGUAACGGUCUAGCUUAUGCUCCUGGAAAGAGUAAGAUCCGGGUUCAAAUCCCGGCUGAGGCA